CAGAAAAAAAAGCAUUUGCUAACUCAUUUUGUCAGAUCUUUGAGGUACAAGACUAAAUGACUUGCUGCUGUAAUGAAGCAGGUCUUUGUAGUUUCUUUGUAAUACUCCAUGAACAGUAUUUGCUGCCUCAUUAGCAAACACAGAGAAAAUGUAAAGCUGUGGUUCCUCUUGUGUUAAACUUUCCAUUUAAGGAUUUUGCCAUGUUUCUAGCAAAAUAACCAUUCCAGUGGUCAUGCUGUUUCAACAACUGUACCAGCUGCAGCUAUUCUGAGCAGCACAGAUCAGCAGGUCCCAAAUUAUAUGUGUGUGUGUAUAUAUAUAUAUAUACACACACAUAUACAUAUACAUUUACCUAACAGAUUACUGAACAGAUUUUUUUUACCUAACAUUACUUUUUUCACAAACUGCUAUGACCAUUUUCAUCAGACUCACUGUUGGGUUGCCAGUAGUUAUGGUUCUGUUGACCAUGGCCAUGUUUCACAGUUUGGGAACCCCUGAGAUGGCACAGCAGUUAAAAAGGCUGACAGGAACUUAUACUCUUAAUACAACUACUUUUGCACUUACUGCAGUUUUUAAGAAACAGUUAUGCUGUUUCUUGUGAGUUAGCUUUUCAAAAUGUGUUUUAUUGAACUCUUGGAGUAACAUUGAAGAUUUUCAUUUCAUAAUCAUAAAUAAAUUCACAAGGAACUCACAAUUUACUGGAGAAAAAAAAUAAAGAGUUGUUAAGCAAAAGAAAACAUUCCUAUGGAAUUUUGAUCAUAUCUACAGUUCGGCUUGAUCCUUCUGUGCUAUAAUUGUCUACAGUACCUUUACGAGAGGUUUCCAGCAGAGAUCUAGAUGCUUAGAAGUAUCUGGAACAUCAAAGGGCAUACCAAAAAUGUCCUCCUCCUUUAAUUUCUCAGAUGAAGAUUUCAUGGCUGGAUUAUUCCAAAAUAAUAUUGAGCUGCAAAACAAUUGUAUAAUGUUAUUCCCUGUUUCUGUGUAAGUCAGAUGCAGGUUUCCAUACAUUUUAAAGUUUGUUUGUUUUUUUUUUUUUUAGCUUUUCAUCUUCUAACUUAACAUAGCAGACAAAUGCUAGAUACUUAAUUGCUUCCUUUGUAAAUGAUGGCAUAUAUUCCUUUUUUCAAUGUUUCAUCAAUUCUUACCUAUACCAAAGCAGCAAGAGAGCAUCCAUACAGUUUGCUUAUGGAAAGCUACUGGGUGAGGUUCCUGGCACUACCUGGGUGAAAUUCCCGAAGGCUACGAGAACUGGACAGAAGAACUCUGUAGCAGGUAAUCUAGUAAUUCAAAUGGAACCUGAUUCCCAGUUCUCGUGCGUAACAAUUCAUUUGCUGACAUUCAAGGCAAACAGUUCCACUCACUUGAAUCUGUCAUCUCAUCACAGUUUUCAGCCCUCUGAUUGUUCCUGUUGCUCUACUCUGGUCGUUCAUUCACAGAUUCAAUAUAGACAAUGAUAAUUUUCCUCAUUACUGACAUCUCUCCCUUUCCUAUCAGGAGUUGCUCAGGGACCUGUGCUAUUCAAGGAUGACAUUUCAGUGACUUCCCUGCUCUUAUUUUGGAUGAAUACUUUUAAUCUGGAGCCCUAGUGUUGCUGCUCAUCCAAUGCAUCUACUCUGCUAUAGUCAUCCAGUAACACUGACAAUAUGCAUGAUGUUUCUGGUACACCCUUCACUAUACCAGGAUAAAAUGAACAGCUGGGAAAGGCCAAGCUCCAUUGCAGAGCUGGACAGAGCAGGCAGCACGCUGCCACCAAAGACACUGCCAGCACCAUCAUGUGGAAAGUGCACACACAGCAGGUGACGAAACAACUAAGUCGGGAUGGCCCAAAUUCUGUUGGAAGUGUUAAUGUUAUUAUUGAACAGCUGGAGGCCUCCAGCUGGGAUAAGAACAAUGAGACUCUCAGUUUGCUUGUGUCCUCCCUCUUCCAUGUUCCCACCUUUUAUGAAGACUGUAAACUGACUGGGAGAGGAACCAUUUUGUAAAUGUCUACAAAGCACCUGCAGUGUUUGGAUGCUAUUAUAAUUUUAACAUAACAAGAGGAAAGCAGAUGCACUUAUAAGACAGAGAGAUGACACCUUCAAGAACUGUGUCAGGACAUAACUAUCUCUGAUGAACUCUUACAGGAGCUACAGCCUCUCUGCCUGCACAUGUGAACAGCCCAUUCACUGUCAAGAUGCUUAAGGUGAAAAGGUGGGUUUAUAAAAUACAUGUUCUAUCUUGAGACUUUCCCAAUGAAAGGCCUAAAAUAGUGAGAGUAUUAAAAUAAACAUGCUGUGGCCUGUGCAUUUGCAGUUCAGUGGUUGUCCUGCCUUUGGUAUGGUCUUUCAUCCCCAGACUGAGAAACAGUGGUUUUCUGUUUUGUAACACAGCUCUCAAAUACUCCAAAGCAAGGAACAGAGUUUUAGCUUCCAAUCAGAAUUUUAGUUUUGAGAUGACCACUGAUGGCAAAACAUAGUUCACAGAUUAUAGCCUGGUGGUAUAGCUUGGGUUUGGGUUCUAUGUUAACUUCCCAUGCAUUUGAGGUCAAUUGUGGUGUUGACUUCAAAAGGAGCAGAGUGUGACAGGCAUUUUGUGACAGUUGUGCAUUUUUCUUUUUCUCUCCAAUCAAACCAGAAAAAUAUACUCUAUAAAUAUACUCUAGAAAUCCUCAGGCUCUUUUCUCCGUCAUACUGGAUCUUGCAGAUCACAGGUGACAAGAUGCAUCUGUGGGAUGAUAGUGCUUUUCUCUGCUGUUUGAUGACUAUGGCAAAGACAGCCCCCUUCAUUAAUCCAUCUGAAGAACUGUAACAAUUUAAUCUUCCGGGUUUUUUUUUUUCCAAAAAGUGAAGAUAAUGCCAAUGCAAAACAGAUUAAUGUUUCAGAAUUCUGAAACUUUUGCCUUGCAAAGGAUGAUGUUUUUGGAAGAUUAAAAAACCACAUAAGUAAUGUGUGAUGAACGUAAGGAGAAAGGAGUUUUUUCUGCCCUCAUUCUCACUGUCCUUUCAGCAAAUACAGGACUACAAACAUUGACAAUAUAUUUACGGGUAACAUUCAAUGUAUUUUUCCAGUUAUGAUCUUUCAAAAGAGCCUCAACAUUGUACCAUAUGCUUAGUUUAUAUUUCUGAGACACUUAAGGCUGCCUAACUUGAGUGUAUGUCAUUUCAGAUGAUCAAAAGAGGCUAAUUUUCCCUUAUCUAAAACAAACAAACAAAAAAGUGCAAAGCUAUUUCUUAUCCAUUUCCUUGCAUAUUUUACACUUAAAAAAAUAAUCGUGACCCAUCUUAUAAACGCAUUCUAUAACUACUCUAAUUUGAAACCAACCUUGACACUCUUGGAUAAAAGAGACAGCCCUGUAGCAUACGAGAGGCCAGCUGUUUUAGAAAUUGGUUGAAGGACAAUAUAAACCAUAUCAUAUAUAUUAUAGUCACAUUGUCUUACUUCACCAUUUCCUAAUUAUACAUUGAAACAAAGCCCAUUUGGAAAUGUUGAGUUCUUCUGAGUAACCUAAACCCUAAGUCACAUGAACAGAGGAAACAGUGAGCAGCCUGAGAUAAGUCACAUGCCUAUGUUUAGUGCACCAACUUGCAAGUAAAAACAUGCCUUUUGCCUCAUCAGAAUUCAAGUAUAUUUUUCUUAUAAAAACACUUAAAACUUUUGAAAAUUGUCUCCCAAUAAUGCAGUUCCUCCUCCUUUACUGAAAGAAUCAGGAGCAGACGUGCACACAGCACUAUACAGAUAAGGGCAGUGCUGGGGAAGGCAGUGUCAGUGAGUGUAUGUACAUACACACAUUAAUACAAGAAGCAUCCCUCUUUAAGGGUUGCAAAUUAUGCAACCAAUACGACUGCUCGUGGUUCCAUCUGUGAUGCACAGAACCUCACCAACUGGAAAGCAGACAAAAACAGAAAGGAACUAUCUCCUUUUACAAUAUCCCUAACACCGUAUCGUCUCUGCCCAUUUGUCAUCCUGUGGGCAUGUGAUUGUCACUGGUUCAGAGACAUGUAAGGCCUCCAAAGAGAACAAAGGCAGAACCCAAAAAUCUUCUCUGGAAGCAUAAUCAAGCCCACAGCCAUUUACAAAGUAUGUAUGCAAAGUUGGUUUUGGGUUUUGUUUUGUUUUUAUUUUCAUACAGGAUUACGCUACUAACCCCCAGGUGCUCCCUGUAGGAAGACAAUACACACUGGGAACUUUAAAAUAGGUACUGAAGAGCAAUCUUUUGCACCCCUCCUUUGCCAAAGAAAUAAGUAAGGGAAUGAAAAUCCUGAUGGUUCUUAAUGUGUAAGAGAAAAUAUAGUAUUUUCAGAAGUUACCUCUUACUUCAGGGGUUUGGUUUUUUUCCAUUCCAUAAGUUUUUACACAAAGUAUCAAAUUCUAUCCAGAACUUAAUGAAAACAAAAAAAAAGUGUUUGUACUAGAGGACUAUCUGAAAACAUGACAAAAAAGUUAAUUUCUUUAAUCUGUAGUUAUUUCCUAUCCCCUUCUAUGUUGCUUAUUUAGAAAGGACUCUAAUAUGCAUAUUUGUCCAGAAACAUGCAAAUGUAUUAUAUGUAUAAAUGUAUUAUAUACCUAAAUGAUUCUAUGGUUGAGAACAGAGGUUGGAAACAACAUUUAAAUUAGCAUGACUUUAAAAAUGUAACAAUGCAAAACCUACAAAAAACAAUAGCUCUUGAAAACUGGUUGUCUUAAACACUGGCACAUAGUUUAUUUUUUAAAAGUAGGUAAUGUAUUAUAUUAAAAUGUGAUUACAUACAUUCAGUCUAAUUUUUCAGCAAUUUUUCCAUGGAACACAAUGUUGCAUUAUUUAAUUGAUAAAACCUAAGUAAAUAUUUGACAACGUUGUUUGACGUUUUGUAGCCUAUUUUAUUUAUAGAUAGCUGUAAUAUUUUGAAUGUUAGGCUCAAGAGAAAAAAUAGGAUCAGAAUGCUCUCCUAAUCAUUUAAUGUACUGAAACAUUUACAUUUAUAAAACAAAUCCACAAAGUUGCUAGGUACUGCAAAAGGGGAAAGUUAAUUAGCUGUCGGUACUGCGAAAGGUGCUGUCUGAGUUGAGGACAGAGAAUGAUUCAUUAGUUGCCUAAUUGGAUGAUUUGAGGUCAAUCCUGCGUGCAUUACUAAUUUAGCACUGUAAUUAACUAUAAUUUGGAAUGACAGAAGAAUUGAGUGCAUUGCCAUUUAACAAAAGCACUACAAGGAGUUUACCAAAAUGUGCUGCUUGCUUUUUUGUUUUUAUGUCACUAUCAAGCUGAAAAUCACAUUUCUGUCAGUAAACAUUUAGGAACUCUUUAAAAAUACUACCUCUCCAGAAAUUCGCGUACAAUGUUCCCUUUGUUUGAAUGUACCUGAUUUCACACAUACAACUUCUCAACAACUUGAAAGAGGUGUAGAUUUGUUAUUUGAUAGAAAUCAGUAGAGAUAAUUACAUGCUCUGGGAUGAUAAGUACAAUAUGUGUAAAUUUAGGUUAAGAAUUAAUAAGAAAGGCAUAGGGAACAAAAUGGAAAACUUCAUUAAAACAUUAGACAAUACUGUGUUCUCUUUCUCUCUUUUAUUCCAUUCAAACAGAAUAGAAUUAGAGAAGGUAUAACAUGGAUGAUUGAAGAUAUGGAACAUGUUUUGUGCUAGGAAUAAAAUAGGAUUCUUUUUAGCCUGGACUGAAGAGAGGAUAUGAGAGAAGUCAACAAAAUCAUGGGAGGCCUGGAGAAAGUGACCGGGGGAUGAUUAUUCACAGUCUUUCGUAAUACCAGAUCCAGCUGGCAUCACAUGAGCUUACCAAGGGACAGACAAACAAAAGGAGUACAAAAGUAUUCCAUU